GAUGAACGCUGGCGGCGUGCCUAAUACAUGCAAGUCGAGCGAACAGACGAGGAGCUUGCUCCUCUGACGUUAGCGGCGGACGGGUGAGUAACACGUGGAUAACCUACCUAUAAGACUGGGAUAACUUCGGGAAACCGGAGGUAAUACCGGAUAAUAUAUUGAACCGCAUGGUUCAAUAGUGAAAGACGGUUUUGCUGUCACUUAUAGAUGGAUCCGCGCCGCAUUAGCUAGUUGGUAAGGUAACGGCUUACCAAGGCAACGAUGCGUAGCCGACCUGCGAGGGUGAUCGGCCACACUGGACCUGAGACACGGUCCAGACUCCUACGGGAGGCACCAGUAGGGACUCUUCCGCAAUGGGCGAAAGCCUGACGGAGCAACGCCGCGUGAGUGAUGAAGGUCUUCGGAUCGUAAAACUCUGUUAUUAGGGAAGAACAAAUGUGUAAGUAACUGUGCACGUCUUGACGGUACCUAAUCAGAAAGCCACGGCUAACUACGUG
rnacentral:rRNA from 1 species